rnacentral:misc_RNA from 1 species
AUGGAAAGAUUAUUGGCGCUUUGGUUGGAAGACCAAAGUCAACGCCGUAUCCCUAUCUGCCAAUGACCCAUUGUGACCUCUCCCUAUAUGGGUCACCUCGACUAGCACGCAGCUCCUACCGGAUGGUAGUGCACUUCGCCUCUACAUUGGACCCUCCUGACUGAAUGGUUGUUGCCGGUGACCCACUAACGACACGCAUAUGACAGUUUCUUAUCAGCUGCAUCGAGUCUUCAUAGCCAGAUAUACACUUACCCUCAGUGACUGUGAUCAAACUGCAAUGUGGACUCUGAAGUACACGAGGUCGAUUCGCCUUCAUAUCUUCUCAUCAUUGUGGAGACUGGAUACGCCUUGUGGUUGCCAUUCAUCCUACAACAUUCCUGUUCGUCAAUGAGUUUAUGUACACUGAUCUUCAAAGUCUAAGAAGAUAGUGCUAAAGUGAGGAUUACCUGUGGCAGGCGAGUACUUUUGUGGUACAGAAUUGACCUCCUUGGAAUAGAGACUAUUUGUCCAACACUCAUAAAUGGGGACAAUAGUGUCAUAUGCAAAAUCAAUAGAACAGCUGUAGAGGUUGCACAAUGUGAGUCAGUGCAAGAUUAUGUGACCCUGGAAAAGACAAAACCUUCACGAAGAAACCCACUAGUAAUAGGUUUUACAAAAAGUUUUAUUCCAUCAGACUGUAGAUCUCGUCAAAAUCCCGUCCCAGAUGGAUGCUGGUGCAAUGAAUAUAAUAGAGAAAUCUUUGAAUAUAAGUGUGCCUUUGUGGCCAGUUUGAUUGAAGAUACUAGUGCACAAGUUGAAUGUAAAAUCUGCAAUUCACCAAAGAAUGCUUUUGAAGUAAAAGUGAAUGAUAACUGCAGAAGUAUGCGUUUCGAUAAUGGUGGUAAUGGCAAUGCUGAUUACAGCUCAGAAAUACUUGUUUUUGCAAGCAUCUUGGGCUUUCUAAUCUCAGGUACAAGCAGGAUACCACUUAGUGUCUGGUUAUGAUGAUGUUCCCACACCUUAAUAUAGCACUAUUGACCUUAAUCUAUGCUAAAGGUAGCAUUUAAACUCAAUUGAUUCCGUAUCAUCUGUGUUGAUCAUGUCAAUAUGUCUUCCCAUUUGUUAGUAUAGUCAUACAGUCAUGGUAAAAUCUUAAUGCAUAUUUCAGAUGAUCAUAAUCAUACAGAACCAAAAAAGCGGCCAUAAACUGCUUCACUUUAAGAAAAAAACGAGAAAUAUAGUUUUUUUUAAUACCUUUAUAUUUCAUGCACAUUCCUAAGAACCUUCUGUGUCCCAUAAGCCGAUUUAACACUCAUCAAAAUGUGUGUGGGGGUUAAAGCUAACAUAAAUCAUAAAUAACCUCACUGUUAUAAAUAUUGUUUUUCUGUAUUGCUUCCUUAAUUACUCUAAACAAAUACGUUUUGAAUUCCUUAUACUUUUUCAAUUUUGUUUAUCUCUUUCAACAUCCUUACUGUUACCAUUUUGUACUACUAUUUAAAAUUAUUAAAUCAAAUGGCAUAUAUUUGAUUUUUUUUUU